rnacentral:tRNA from 2 species
AGGGGUGUAGCUCUAAUUGGCAGAGCGCCGGUCUCCAAAACCGGAGGUUGUGGGUUCGAGCCCCGCCACCCCUG